CCUACGGGGGGCAGCAGUGAGGAAUAUUGGUCAAUGGACGAGAGUCUGAACCAGCCAAGUAGCGUGAAGGAUGACUGCCCUAUGGGUUGUAAACUUCUUUUAUAAAGGAAUAAAACGAGGCACGUGUGCCUUUUUGCAUGUACUUUAUGAAUAAGGAUCGGCUAACUCCGUGCCAGCAGCCGCGGUAAUACGGAGGAUGCGAGCGUUAUCCGGAUUUAUUGGGUUUAAAGGGUGCGUAGGCGGGCUGUUAAGUCAGCGGUCAAAUGUCGGGGCUCAACCCCGGCCUGCCGUUGAAACUGGCGGCCUCGAGUGGACGAGAAGUAUGCGGAAUGCGUGGUGUAGCGGUGAAAUGCAUAGAUAUCACGCAGAACUCCGAUUGCGAAGGCAGCAUACCGGCGCCCGACUGACGCUGAGGCACGAAAGCGUGGGUAUCGAACAGGAUUAGAUACCCCGGUAGUC
rnacentral:rRNA from 1 species